ensembl:snRNA U1 U1 spliceosomal RNA
AUGCCUACCUGGCAGAGGAGAUAUCAUGAUUACGAAAGGGGUUUUCCCAGGGCAAGGCUUAUCCAUUGCACUCCGGAUGUGCUAACCCCUGCAAUUUCCCCAAAUGUGGGAAACUCGACUGUAUAAUUUGUGGUGAUGGAGGAUUGCGUUCACGCUCUCCCCUG